UACGUAGGGGGCAAGCGUUGUCCGGAAUUAUUGGGCGUAAAGCGCGCGCAGGCGGUCAUUUAAGUCUGGUGUUUAAGGCCAAGGCUCAACCUUGGUUCGCACUGGAAACUGGGUGACUUGAGUGCAGAAGAGGAGAGUGGAAUUCCACGUGUAGCGGUGAAAUGCGUAGAUAUGUGGAGGAACACCAGUGGCGAAGGCGACUCUCUGGGCUGUAACUGACGCUGAGGCGC
rnacentral:rRNA from 1 species